rnacentral:misc_RNA from 1 species
UACGUAGGUGGCAAGCGUUGUCCGGAAUCAUUGGGUGUAAAGGGUGCGUAGGUGGGAGCCUAAGUCUGUGGUGAAAUCUUGCCGCUUAACGGUAAAAUGGCCAUAGAUACUGGGUUUCUUGAGUACAGAAGAGGUCGGUGGAAUUCGUAGUGUAGCGGUGAAAUGCAUAGAUAUUACGAAGAACAUCAGUGGCGAAGGCGGCCGGCUGGACUGUAACUGACACUGAGGCACGAAAGCGUGGGGAGCGAACAGG